UCGGAUUGUAGUCUGCAACCCGACUACAUGAAGCCGGAAUCGCUAGUAAUCGCGGAUCAGAAUGCCGCGGUGAAUACGUUCCCGGGUCUUGUACACACCGCCCGUCACACCAUGGGAGUCGGAAAUGCCCGAAGCCGGUGACCCAACCCGAAAGGGAGGGAGCCGUCGAAGGCAGGUCGGAUGACUGGGGUGAAGUCGUAACAAGGUAAC
rnacentral:rRNA from 1 species